rnacentral:rRNA from 1 species
ACGCUCGACACCUACGGGGAGGCAGCAGUGAGGGAUAUUGGUCAAUGGGAGAAACCCUGAACCAGCAACGCCGCGUGAGGGAUGACGGCCUGGUUGUAACUCUGUCUCUGUGAGAUAAUGUACGGAGUCAGAGGAGGAGCGUCCGUCUAACUACGUCGCCACACGCGCGGUAAUCUGNGGCGGGCGUGACGAGGC